CCCAUGUUCUGGAAUACAAGUAUUUUCCACUGCUACAGUUAUUCUUUGUGUGUGCAUGCGCACGCACCCAAGAAGACCAUCUGAGAGCAUUAGACACCAUAGAGCUGCAGUACAGUAGCAGGUUUUGUCAGAGUUGUACCAUGGAUCAAGACUUCCUUUUGGGGCCAAAUAAUAUCCUGUUGCAUGGAGAGACAGAAUGGAGAAUCAAUGGGUAGAUCACAUCCAAUGUGAUCAUGUGGUAACAAGACUGGGCCAGAACCCUGCUGCUGGGAAUGAAUGAGGUAUCUUGCUAUCUGCCAUCCAUGCUGGCUUCCAGCUGACCAUUCAAGGUUAACCUCCCUGACAGGUUCAGGGCACCUUUGCCUGCCCAGUGCCAUGGCACCAUCAUACCUCAUCCUUCUCCACAGUGGCAUCACUGAGCAGUCGUACAUCAUCAUGAACGUCGAAGUUGAAGAGUGGCCCUGUAGGAGAGAAGCAGUAAGCUCAAGGCCAUGCUAUUCUCCUUCAAUAUGUUGGAGCAAGUUACAGGGUGAACUAAGAUAGAAUUACUCACCACUUUUUCCUCGUGCCUUGGUAACGAUGAAGUCAUAGAAGCUGUGAUGCUAGGAGCAGAGGAUGAGAAAGACCAGCUUGAUAAUCCUUCUGGGGUCCUAUCACCCACUAUUCCCCAUACCUCUACCUGCAGGUAUCACUGCGUUCAGCAGCCCUGGAAGAGUGCACAGCAGUAUGGUGACUCUCCUAUGAAAGCACAGAGUGCAUGACCCAGGGUUGAAGGAACUCACAUGGGGGAUGAUUAAAUCCUCCUUGAUGUACAUGAGCUGUUCCACCCCUGCUGACCUACAGGAAAAAGAGGAGAGGACAACAACUAGAAGUCAUCAGAGUGGCCACAAGGGGCCAGGAAGUGCUGGCCACAGUGCUUUAAGCCUUAAAGUUUAAGGGAAGCUGUGUAGUUUAAUGAAUCUGGGACGGGAGUUCCAGUGUCCUCCACUUCUGGACCAUACCACCAAGGCAGGGCUCUCUCACCUAUGCUUUCUACAGCAGGAAGGUAAGAAAAAAGAGCACAGCUCUCCUUUUUGAGGAUUUCAGUGCCCAGCAUUCCGCCUUCCCAGCUGUGGAGCAGUCAGCAGGGUUGUCUGAUGCCCUGGCUGGGAAGUCAGCCUCCUCACAGAUGCACAGCACAGGCACACAUAGUGCAUCCUCUGCUCACCUGAGUUCACUGAAGUCUUUCCGCAAGAUCUCUAGUGCUUUCUGUAGGAACUGCUGCAUCGUGUUGCCUUUCUUCAU